AAAAACUGUUGUUAAAUAAGAAGUCGAGGAAAAAAAGCCCGCGGGUCCAUCAAAGAAGCAGAACAAACCACCUGGGAAUGAUGAGGAUAUUGAAGAGCAUUGGGUUCAUCUAAAAUACCAUGGAGCUAGGAGUGACAUUUCAACCAGAUAUCUACAGGAAAUGGCCAUGGAGGAAGGCUCUCCAGUACCAUUUUCAAUGAGCCCGGUUGAUUAUCUGAACGCUGUAUGUCCUAGCAGACCAACUGACACUGACAGAUUAAAAAUCCUUCGAACAAGGUUGUCUCAAUUACCUCUUGAAGAACGCAUUAGAACUUGGCUUCUUGAGGGGCCUCCAAUUCAUCGUUUUGAUGCUCUAAAGCACCUGGCGCUGGAUGAUCCUGUUGAUGAAAUUUUGAGAGUCCUCCAAAGAUACGCACAAUUAGUUCAAGGAUUAUGGGUUCCAAAAAGUUCAUUAAUCUAUGGAAAGAAUGAUGGACUUGAAGUUUUAGCAAGGAAUUUUAUUCUCUUUGAGUUUAGCAAGAGUACCAUUAUUAAGCAGAAAGUUUUUGCCAGGAGGUUGGAUUUCCUUAAAGCUGCAAAACCAACAUUAAAAUCAUUAGCUGUUGAGAGGCCUGACCUGAAUGAUUGGAAGCUCAAAGAGCAUCCUGACAAGAAACUUGAAGUUCUUUUUGGUGAUGUUGUGAAAGAGCAGCAAGCUACCUGGGAAUGCAUGGGGAAACAGAUCAAUAGUAUUUUGUCUGGAGGAAGAAACAGGAAAGGCCAACAUUCCUGCAUCUAAAUUCAAAACGAUCCUCUAAAUUCCCAGAAUAAUUAGAAGUGAUGUUCACUGCCGACUCUUGCUGGAUCUGCUUUAUUAAGCUUCACCACUGAAUUCUCAAAGCUUUUAUUUGGCUAAUUUCUUUGGAUCUCGCAGCUGUAGGCAGAUGUGGUGAAGUUUAUGAGCUUCACAAGUUUGUUCUUAAUAUUGUUACUAGAGAAUGUGUGGUGUUUUGGCAUUUAAUAUUUAAGAACAGUAACUUGUUUGCUGUUAUGUGGACAUGAACAAUGAAUAUUCUCUUUAAAUAGUUUCUUCCUUUCGUAUGUGUACCAACAUGUAUAUGAAGAAGCAGUGGUGAUACAGAUUGAGGAAUGCUUUGAAAUUAGUCAUUCAAUUUG